ACUCCAGUGACCUAGUGGUUAGAGCAUUUGCCUCGGAUGCGGGAGGUUGUGGGUUCAAUCCCCAGCUGAUUCGUA